UACGAAGGGGGCUAGCGUUGCUCGGAUUGACUGGGCGUAAAGGGCGCGUAGGCGGUUUGCACAGUCAGACGUGAAAUUCCUGGGCUUAACCUGGGGGCUGCGUUUGAUACGUGCAGGCUUGAGUUCGGAAGAGGGUCGUGGAAUUCCCAGUGUAGAGGUGAAAUCGUAGAUAUUGGGAAGAACACCGGUGGCGAAGGCGGCGACCUGGUCCGAUACUGACGCUGAGGCGCGAAAGCGUGGGGAGCAAACAGG
rnacentral:rRNA from 1 species